UCAUAUGCUUGUCUCAAAGAUUAAGCCAUGCAUGUCUAAGUACAUACUAUAAUAAAGUAAAACCGCGAAAGGCUCAUUAAAUCAGUUAUGGUUCAUUAGAUCGUACCACUAUAAGUUUACUUGGAUAACUGUGGUAAUUCUAGAGCUAAUACAUGCAAACAGAAUUCUGACCGGAGACGGGAGGAAUGCUUUUAUUAGAUCAAAACUAAUCGAUGUCGGAAUUUUUUUUCCGUUUAUCGUAAAUUUUUUAUGUGUUGAAUCUGAAUAACUUUUGCUGAUCGCAUGGUCUUGUACCGGCGACGCAUCUUUCAAAUGUCUGCCUUAUCAACUGUCGAUGGUAGGAUCUGCGCCUACCAUGGUUGUAACGGGUAACGGGGAAUCAGGGUUCGAUUCCGGAGAGGGAGCCUGAGAAACGGCUACCACAUCCAAGGAAGGCAGCAGGCACGCAAAUUACCCACUCCCAGCACGGGGAGGUAGUGACGAAAAAUAACGAUACGGGACUCAUCCGAGGCCCCGUAAUCGGAAUGAGUACACUUUAAAUCCUUUAACGAGGACCAAUUGGAGGGCAAGUCUGGUGCCAGCAGCCGCGGUAAUUCCAGCUCCAAUAGCGUAUAUUAAAGUUGUUGCGGUUAAAAAGCUCGUAGUUUGAUUUGUGUCUCACGCUGUUGGUCCACUGCCCGCAGUGUUAACUGAUAUGACGUGAGACGUCUAGCCGGUGAAUUCAACAAGGUUGCAGUAUUUCAUUUUCUAUAUAUUUAAAUAAAUUUUUAAUGAUUACUUGUAAACGGUUGAAUUCAACUUUAUAUUUAUAAAGAUCCUGUCACAGUGCUCUUGACCGAGUGUUUUGCCAGGCCGGCCCAUUUACUUUGAACAAAUUAGAGUGCUUAAAGCAGGCAAAAAUUUACGCCUGAAUAAUAUGUGCAUGGAAUAAUAGAAUAGGACCUCGAUUCUAUUUUGUUGGUUUUGAGAAUUAAGAGGUAAUGAUUAAUAGGGACAGAUGGGGGCAUUUGUAUUGCGACGUUAGAGGUGAAAUUCUUGGAUCGUCGCAAGACAGACUUAAGCGAAAGCAUUUGCCAAAUAUGUUUUCAUUAAUCAAGAACGAAAGUCAGAGGUUCGAAGGCGAUCAGAUACCGCCCUAGUUCUGACCAUAAACGAUGCCAGCUAGCGAUCCGCCGAAGUUACUACCCACGACUCGGCGGGUAGCUUUCGGGAAACCAAAGCCUUUGGGUUCCGGGGGAAGUAUGGUUGCAAAGCUGAAACUUAAAGGAAUUGACGGAAGGGCACCACCAGGAGUGGAGCCUGCGGCUUAAUUUGACUCAACACGGGAAAAUUUACCAGGCCCAGACACUGGAAGGAUUGACAGAUUGAUAGCUCUUUCUUGAUUCAGUGGGUGGUGGUGCAUGGCCGUUCUUAGUUGGUGGAGUGAUUUGUCUGGUUAAUUCCGAUAACGAACGAGACUCUAGCCUACUAAAUAGACGUACGAUUUUCCGGUAUCUUGAAGGCGCACUUCAUUCGGUUUACCAUAUGUUUUUGGUGUAUUGUUCUUGGGGAAACUCUUCACAUUUUUUCAAUGGACACUUUAUCAUCAAUUCACUUUAAUUUGUUUUGGUGUUAUUGUUGUUUCUAUUGUUAAAUGAGUUGUUGUGAAACCUUGCCAGUGUAUCCAAUUCAUUGGUCGAAUGUAUGUGUUGUUUUUACUACCGGCGUACAUUAAAUUCUUCUUAGAGGGACAGGCGGCUUCUAGCCGCAUGAGAUUGAGCAAUAACAGGUCUGUGAUGCCCUUAGAUGUUCUGGGCCGCACGCGCGCUACAAUGAAGGACUCAACGUGUCCUCCCUGACCGAAUGGUCCGGGUAACCCGUUGAAACUCCUUCGUGAUUGGGAUUGGGGAUUGCAAUUUUUCUCCAUGAACGAGGAAUUCCAAGUAAACGCGAGUCAUAAGCUUGCGUUGAUUACGUCCCUGCCCUUUGUACACACCGCCCGUCGCUACUACCGAUUGAAUGAUUUAGUGAGGUCUUCAGACUGGUACACGGCGAUGCGUCAAAACAUUGCUGUUGUUACCGGGAAGAUGACCAAACUUGAUUAUUUA
rnacentral:rRNA from 1 species